UACCACCUUAGGCACGCCCGAUCUCGGAAGCUAAGCAGGGUCGGGGCUGGUUAGUACUUGGAUGGGUGACCGCCUGGGAAUACCAGGU
rnacentral:rRNA from 10 species